rnacentral:rRNA from 1 species
AACGAACGCUGGCGGCAGGCUUAACACAUGCAAGUCGAACGCGUGUAGCAAUACACGAGUGGCGCACGGGUGAGUAACGCGUGGAUAUCUGCCUUUUGGUUCGGAAUAACCCCGGGAAACUGGGGCUAAUACCGGAUGGUUCCUUCGGGAUAAAGAUUUAUCGCCAAAAGAUGAGUCCGCGUCCGAUUAGCUAGUUGGUGAGGUAAUGGCUCACCAAGGCGACGAUCGGUAGCNGGUCUGAGAGGACGAUCAGCCACACUGGGACUGAGACACGGCCCAGACUCCUACGGGAGGCAGCAGUGGGGAAUAUUGGACAAUGGGGGCAACCCUGAUCCAGCCAUGCCGCGUGAGUGAUGAAGGCCUUCGGGUUG